GAUAACCAUAAGUGCAUAACAAAGAUGGGGGGCUCAAUAGUUGUUGCGGAAGUAUCUUAAAAUUCUUGUACAUUGCAAAUACAAAUUGUGAUAAACGUAUCUUUGAUUAAGCGAUCUAUGGACGUUGAUGAGAACAUGAAUGGACAACUACGACCACAUUUUCCAUAUCAAGAGAUUGGAGAAGAAAACCAACAAAGAAUACGCGAAAAUCAACCAAGAAUACCCGAAAAUCAACCAAAAAUACGCGAAAAUCAACCAAGACUAACUAUUGACCAAUUUUUCAUAAAUUUGGCGAAGGAAAUUCCCAAUGAUUGGAAAAAUUUGGCUUUGUACCUUAAUGUUAGUGGUGGGAAAGUUAAACAAAUCGAAAUAGACGAACGUGGUGUCGUCUGGCAAGGAUAUACUAUGUUGAAGUAUUGGUGGGAGUCCCGUCAUAAAAAUAUGCUGUGGUACGAGGAACUGGCAAAUGCUAUUAUUGCUGACACGAACAACAGAGAUCUGGCCCAAAGAAUCAUCACCGAGGGCCAGCAAGUUCGCGAAUAAAAUGAAAAACGUUUUAAAUCGACAUUUUUGUCCAUAAUUUCAACCAUCAUUCAUAGCGUUUCACUUGAUUAUGUAACAAUAAACAAUGAUGCAGGCUAAAAAGAACAUAAAUCUGAAGCUUGUAUAUUUCUUGAACAACUUCCUAAUAUCUCCUGAUGUAAAAUCUUACUAUACAGAUAUUUAGUUACUAUAUAGUUUGCCAGUUUUAGCUUACAAUAAACACCAUUGCUUGCA